ACCCUACUAUACCCAACCGCAAUACACAAUUAAAAUACCAAUUGUUCGCCAAACAACUACGAGUAGUAACUUAAAACUUAAAAGACUUGACGGUGCUUCACCACGGCCUAGAGGAGCCUGUCUAAUAACCGAUAACCCACGAUUAACCCAACCCUCUCUUGCCAACAGUCUAUAUACCGCCGUCGUAAGCUUACCUUGUAAAAGAAUUAAAGUGAGCCCAAUAGCACCCCAMUAAGACGACAGGCCGAGGUGUAACCUAUGAGCGGGACCCAGAUGGGCUACAUUCUCUAUUUAGAGAUGCGAAUAACACUUUGAACUAAGUGAUUGAAGAAGGAUUUAGAAGUAAGCCAGGAAUAAAAUACCUAACUGAACAUAACGCAAUGAAGUGCGUACACACCGCCCGUCACCCCUGUCAACACCAUACAAAUCUCCAUAAACCAACUACCAAUAACAACCA
rnacentral:rRNA from 1 species